GAUUAACGCUGGCGGCGUGCAUAACACAUGCAAGUCGAACGAUGAAACUUAAAUGAUUUCUUCGGAAUGAACUUAAGUGGAUUAGUGGCGGACGGGUGAGUAACGCGUGAGUAACCUGCCUUACACAAGGGGAUAGCCGUUGGAAACGACGAAUAAUACCCUAUGAAACUAUCACUUCGCAUGAAGCGAUAGUCAAAGUGUUAGCGGUGUAAGAUGGACUUGCGUCUGAUUAGCUAGUUGGUGAGAAAAAAUCCCACCAAGGCAACGAUCAGUAGCCGGCUUGAGAGAGUGUACGGCCACAUUGGGACUGAGACACGGCCCAGACUCCUACGGGAGGCAGCAGUGGGGAAUUUUGCACAAUGGGGGAAACCCUGAUGCAGCGACGCCGCGUGAUUUAGAAGGCCUUCGGGUUGUAAAAAUCUUUUGUAUAGGAAGAAAAUGACAGUACUAUACGAAUAAGGUCCGGCUAAUUACGUG
rnacentral:rRNA from 1 species